CAGCCGCCGCGGUAAUACGGAGGGUGCAAGCGUUAAUCGGAAUUACUGGGCGUAAAGCGCACGCAGGCGGUCUGACAAGUCAGAUGUGAAAUCCCCGGGCUUAACCUGGGAACUGCAUUUGAAACUGUCAGGCUGGAGUCUUGUAGAGGGGGGAGGAAUUCCAGGUGUAGCGGUGAAAUGCGUAGAGAUCUGGAGGAAUACCGGUGGCGAAGGCGGCCCCCUGGACAAAGACUGACGCUCAGGUGCGAAAGCGUGGGGAGCAAACAGGAUUAGAGACCCGAGUAGUCCCUGUCUCUUAUAC
rnacentral:rRNA from 1 species